AUGAAUUUGGGGGAACACAGAUAUUCAGUCCAUAGUGCUGCUCCUUAUCAACUUGUAGUUAAUAAGGACAAAGUAUAUCAACGUUACCAGACCACAUCUCUGGAUUAUUCAGAGUCUGCUAUUUCUGUUUGUACUACCAGACCUGAGAAUAUUUAUGGUAAUGUCUGUGGUCCUAGCUUCUUGUCUUGCCCAUCUUCUCUCUCAUCCUGUCUAAUCAUUUACAGGUCAAUUCUCCCACUCUUACUUGUUGCAGCUCCCAUUCCUGCUGACUUCUGCUUUGGGUCAAUUGUAGCUCCUGGAAGAUCAUUCCAGAAAUCCUGGAAAUCCAGAUGUUAGUUACAAACAAACAUUUAAAACUGGGCCAGCGUAUUGAAAAACAGAUAAAUGUCUGUACUCCAUAUUUGACUCUCCAAGAGGCAGUUUACAGCCUCCGUUAGAAGACUUAACGCAUUUCUUUGUCUAAGACUAGACAAAGAGCUUAGUCCACAACUGAAAUACACUUAAAAACAGCAACAAAAACAAUCAUGCUGCUUAAAAUCCUUCAAUGGCUUUGAACUCUGAUUGAUGUGAAAUCCAGCAUUCUUCAUAGCCCAAGUCUUCACAUGAUCUGGCAACUUCCCGAUUCCCCAGCUUCUGGGCAAGCUGCUGUCCUCUUUGCUUGCCAUGGUCCACCUAUAACAAUCUUCUCGCUUUUCAGAAAUGUUAAGCUCUUCCCAUCUCAGGUAGUUUCACAUUAUUGCCUCUGCUUAGAAUGCCUUUCCUCUUUUUUUCAACUGUUGAAAUCUUUUUUCUAGUUUUAAAUUUCUUAUUGAUG
ensembl:lincRNA